UGACGUUAGGGUCAAAGGGCAAAGUCAUUAAAAGAAAGCGCCAGAACGCUGCAGACACUAAUGUGUGUUUUCUCAUCAUUUAAUACAGAUCGGCCGUCUUGUGGUGGCUGACAUGUUGAGAUCACAUGACCAGCCGAAUACAAUGUGCUUUACCUUGGUAAACCCCCUAUUAUUGGAUGCUUUCACCAUGCAGCUUUAAGACUAGAGGCUCUCUGGGUGUGUGAAGAAGAAAAGAACGACUCUGGCGGGCUUUGAAGCUGCCCUGCCCCUUUCAGAGCCGUCAUCUCUCCCGCCAGCCCUUUGUUGGUAGCGAUGCUGGUUCUUUGUCAGCGGUCUCAUGUGGCUUAUGUCCAUUCCCAUCAUCACCAAUUACACAUGGCUUUCUCGGACGCACAUCUUUGACGGUGUCACUCAUUUACACUCGCGUGAAGACAUUCUGCGUACCUUUAGCUGCUUGUCAAAUUUAGCACUCUGUUUAGCUGCCUCCUCUCUUACGGGAACCGACACGCAGAGUGCAUUUUCGAAAGGAAACAAAUGUGUAACUAACACAUACACGAAAAUGGUGAGAGGUGGUAAAAGUGCCCUGCGUAUAUUUGCAUGUUUGAGUGCACGGUGAUAAGGCCGCGGGCCCUGCGUCGCUGUGUUUUAGACUGACAGUGUCUGUCAGGCCUGGCUCUGGGCUGUGUGUAGAGUAAAGGCAGGUCUGCGCUUCUCAAUUGCACUCAGCGGGGGACAAGUGCUCGGCUCUCAGGGACGCCACAGCCAGCUGGCUUCACAUAGAUGAGCCGUGCCCCGACUGUCUGCCCUGCAGUGUGUGUGUGUGUGUGUGUGUGUGUGAGAGAGAGAGAGAAAGAGAGAGAGAGAGAAAAAAACACACUUCAGAGGGAGAUUGUGUGUUUGAUUUUUCCAUUUUGUGUUGUAAAGAUUUUCUAAAUCUUUUGUUGGAACUACAAAUGUGACAAGAGUGGAUUUAUUUUGGAGAGAUCCUGAAGCUGUUUGCUUUGGUUUUGGUAGGUGGUUUCACAAAGUGUUGGUGGUUUCACAGCACAUUCCAUGAAUACGGUGUGCUCCUGUGACUUUCAUUGAAAGCAUUGAAGUCACAAAAUACAACUUUUGGGUUGGGAGAGAUAUUAUUAGAUAUGCUUUACUUUCUUGUGUGCAUUUAACAGUUAAGAUCAUACAGCAGUAUCAUAAUGUGACAUCUAUUGAGUUGGUAUUCAGUUAAAAAAAAUCAUUCGAAUUGAAUACAGGUACCGUUUUUAAACGUGUUUUCAUUACAUUUAACAAACGUAAUUGUGCUGCAUUUAAAAAAUAUAAUUUGAAAAUAUAUCUGCAUUGACUAGAUAAACAACAGACAAUAUUUUGUAUAAUAUGCCUGUGUGAUAAAAUGUAAGAGUUUAUCUGCUGUGGGUAGUGGUAGGCUGACCAAGAUCAAAAAAAUAUGUAUUUUUUCAUUGAUUUCAUCAUUUACAGCAUCCCAAAAGUUGUUCCCAAAUUAACUAUAGCCCCUACUGAGUGGCAGCUUAAUUUAGGCAGCAUUUGCCUCCAUGUUACUUAGAAACCUUCUUACAUUCUUUCACAUAUUUUUAAUAUUUUUUUUUUAUGUUUAACAGUUUUCUAUUUAAUGUGUGUUCAUUUAAUAUUUAGUGUUAAAUGUACAAAAAAUAUUUUUUAAAGAGCUGCAGUUUCUUCUUUGUAUUCAUGGUAAAAGUGCCUCACCAACUGUAACCAUCAACCAUUCCAGCAUCUGCAUCAUUAAAUCCUUAUACUCAAAGUCUAAACUGAUUAAUGUUGAAUUAAGCAGAAGUCAUUUUCUUUUAAAGGGGUCAUGUGACGUUGCUAAAAAAGAAUUAUGUUGUGUAUUUGGUGUAAUGCAAUGUGUUUAUGCGUUGUAAGAUUAAAAAACACAUUAUUUUCUACAUACUGUACAUUAU